GGCUGUGCAGUGGCACAGUGGAUAGUGCUGUUUCCUCUCAGCAAGAAGGUUGUGGGUUUGAAUCCAGCCUGGAGCCU